AUUUCCCAUAAAAUUUCAUUUACUUCCCACACUUAACCAUACACACGUAUAUAUAUAAAACUUAAAAAUUCCAUCGUAUCAUAUGAUGUAUUCCUGCCACACGCGAAUCGUUCGAUUAUCAAUUCCACUCUCCCAGAACAAACAAUACAACAAUGUAAUCGUGCGUAGAAAGCGAUGAUCGAGAGCACGGUGUGGGUGAAUAACUCCUCCAUCGAGAAAAGUUGGCUCGAUCGAUUUCACUCUCCCGGCCAAUUGGUAAAAAUUUCGCUUCACACGCGAGCUCGUUCUAUUGAAAUCGGGACGCAGCAACGAUCGUGGCCAUCCCCUUUCCCCACGACGAUCGAAAAUUCAAUCUACGCGAUUCGAUCUAAGUGGAUCGAGCCGAUCGAGCAACGAUCGAGCAAGAAAACACUUAUUACCGGGGCCCGUUUCUCACCUGGCGCGGCUCGUGCGCCAGGAAGCGGACAAAAGCGCGUUCGAGAUUCCGAUUCGGUCGUGUCCGCGCCACGAAUUAUGGCGAAUGCUAUGCCCUUUUGCAUGCAACGUGCACAACCGCGAUUUCUAGAUCGGCUAACCUUUCGGCCGACUAGAUCCAGGGAUCCAGUUCAGUCGAUCUGUGAGUCGCUCUUGGAAUCGCUCGAAACUUUGUGUCAUGGG